UACGUAGGGGGCAAGCGGUUGUCCGGAAUUAUUGGGCGUAAAGAGCUCGUAGGCGGUCUGUCGCGUCUGCUGUGAAAUCCCGAGGCUCAACCUCGGGCCUGCAGUGGGUACGGGCAGACUAGAGUGCGGUAGGGGAGAUUGGAAUUCCUGGUGUAGCGGUGGAAUGCGCAGAUAUCAGGAGGAACACCGAUGGCGAAGGCAGAUCUCUGGGCCGUAACUGACGCUGAGGAGCGAAAGCGUGGGGAGCGAACAGG
rnacentral:rRNA from 1 species